rnacentral:rRNA from 1 species
CUAUCAAUAAGCGGAGGAAAAGAAACCAACAGGGAUUGCCUCAGUAACGGCGAGUGAAGCGGCAAAAGCUCAAAUUUGAAAUCCCCCCGGGGAGUUGUAAUUUGAAGAUUGCGUCUUGGAGGCGACCGUGUCUAUGUUCCUUGGAACAGGACGUCACAGAGGGUGAGAAUCCCGUGCGGCACGGCCCCCGGCUCCUUAUAAGGCGCUCUCGACGAGUCGAGUUGUUUGGGAAUGCAGCUCAAAGUGGGUGGUAAAUUCCAUCUAAAGCUAAAUACAGGCGAGAGACCGAUAGCGAACAAGUACAGUGAUGGAAAGAUGAAAAGCACUUUGAAAAGAGAGUGAAACAGCACGUGAAAUUGUUGAAAGGGAAGGGCAUGCCGUCAGAUUGUCAGUGUGGGUAAGAAGCGGGGUACAAAGACUGUGGAACGUGGCCCUCGGGUGUUAUAGCCGCAGUUCAUGCCCCGUCUCUUUCCGAGGCCUGCUUUGAGGACACCGACGUAAUGACGGUACGCCGCCC